UAUUAUCGUAUCAUCUCAAUAUGCCAGUAUGGUAUGAUGUAGGCAUUGAACUUAUAUGUGAAAUUGGUCAUGGUUUUAAAAGAUUAGCAAGAGUGAGUAGUAGUGGGUCAAAGUGCAUGUGACUGUGUUUUUUUUUUUUAUAUAAGUUGUAUUUUUGUGAUAUUGCAGCCAGCAUACGGAUGUAUAAAUCUAUCUACCUAAUUUCAUAAUUCACAUACCAAGUAUUAUUAUUAACCUUUUCAUUUCAGAUGUUGACAACUUACUUACACUAUGAAGAAACACAAGAACGAAUAAGUUGGCAAGCCAGGAUCAGUAUUCUAAGUUCAACACACUGAAACUAGAAAGCGUAAAGAACUUAGUUCACCAAAUUUUGAAAUGUUGAACACACACACACACUGAUGAUUCUAAGAUCUUGCCGACAGCACAACGAGAGAAAGAGCCUCUACAUAUAAGGCUUGGCGUGUGUUCUGCCUCUUCUAUCAAAAGAGCCUUCUGAAGGUUAAUGGGUCUGGUGGCUACGAAGCAGGCC
rnacentral:lncRNA from 1 species